GCCGCGACCAGCGGCCCUCGGCUGCGGCCCGCGCGGCCCUUUGUGACUCAUGUGACUGACGCGCGCGGCGCUGACCAAUGGCAGCGGCUCCUCCCUUGCCCGCCUGGCCCCGCCUCCUCACGGGCCUCACGGCCAAUCGGGGGGGCAAGUUCGCCUCCGUCGCCAGCUUCUUCUUGACGGACGGGUGCGAAAGCAAAUGAGAUCGCUAGCCCCGCCCCUGCCGGCCAAUGGCCGACGCGCAAUGCGGCGCUCGCGGGCUGGGGGCAGCCAAGGAGGGCCUGGCCGGACGCCCCCGCCCCGGCGGAGUCGCUGUUGCCGCCGCCGCUGGCCGCGCUCCUCCACCGGGGGUAGACGCCUCUCCUUCCCCACCCCCACCGUGAGGGGCUGCGGCCGCCCCUGGCCCCGGGCAGCCCCGCCGCCCGCCACACGUUCCCUGGCUGGAUGCGACACGGGGCGGGGAGGAGCCGCCCGGCCGCUGCGUGCGGGGGCUCUGCGCGCUCUUAAGAGACGGGGAGCGGCGGCUGGAGAUAGUGUGUGCCUUCCUGUGUAUCCGAGGCUGGGCCAGCAAAUACGUCUCUCGACGACUGUCCAACCUUUGAAACUUGGAGCUCCGGCAGGUGCGGUUGGCACUGGUGGAGAUAUCAGUUGCAAAUGGAAGGAACAGUCCUUCAGCCAGGAUGUGGAAGAGAAUUCCUCCCCAAAUACUGAGACUUUCAGUGUCCCAACUGCCAAAAACCAAAGCCACCUCCUACACCUUCCUGGAUGCGAGAAACCCCAACUGCCCGCUACCCAUCUGUCAAAAUUUAUAGAUCUCCUUAGACAAAUAUUAACAAUUCAGUCAUGCGCAAAGCCUGUGGCAUAUUGAAAAAAUUGGGAGAAGGAUAAAAUACAUUGAAUGCAAUGUGAAAAUAAGCUAUGUGGUGAGUAGUUUACUCUUUUUCCCUCUGUCUCCAUCUGCUUUCCUCUGUCUUCUGCUUAGCUUUAAAAGGCUUUGGGAUGUGUCUUUGUUCUCCAAAUGCUGAAUAUGAUGAUGGAUCACAAUACAUUUAUCUCUCUGCAUUUCUGCCACACUCAUCCUUUGCCCUGCCUCCUUAGGGCACUUUUGUGUUGGAUGGUAAUUUUUGCAUUUACAUUCUUAAAAGCAGUGGAACAAGUUAGUUAUAGCAUACCUUUUAAUUGUCUGUAAAAAGCAGGCAGUACUUCAGAUAUUCAUUUGGGGAGAGAAUCCUGAAAACCAAAAGGAAAUAAGUAGGGAACACACAUCGGAUGCCUGGCACACGUCGAGUCCAACCACAGCUUUUUAACACCUCUGCAGUUGGCUACAGAUCAAACAACUUGCAGAUACCACCCGUCUGCCUCCCAGCACAAUGAUGCUACUGCCUUGUCUCUCAGUAAAGAGAAGUCUUAGCACUGUAUGGACACAAAUCCUAGCUAGAUGGGGACUGGAGAACUUGGACUAGGAGUAGCAGACAUACCCAAAGACCACCUAGCCCAAACAGAAGUCAAAAGAGAAGCAGAAGAACAAGGGAACUGAAGCUAAACUGUUUAUGCAGGACUUGAGUGAGGCUGGGAGAAAAGACUGACUAGGACAGGGCUCUCUUGUGGAGGUGGGAGGGAAAGAGAUGGUUCUUGGCCCUUGAUAAUGAUCAAGAACAUAAUGGGGAUCUGUAGUGAGAUAAUGUGAAUAGUAUGGGGAAAAAGGCAGGAAACCCUUCUUGACAGAACAGGUAGUAGCAUAGGGAGGAAAUUGUGACUAGAGCUGCUGGCAUAGGUGCAGAAGAAAAGGAUCGUGUGGGAGAAGGAGGACACAGAGACUCUUGAGAGGAUGGAGGAUGAUGACUGAGUUCCUGAAAUGAAGGUGUGGA
ensembl:lncRNA